ensembl:lncRNA
AAGUCGGAGCUUUCCUUCAGUGAGUCGAGCCAUGCGGGCAUCAAUAGAUACAAAAAUACCAAAUGUCUUAUUGUGAAAGGUGAAAGAGGAAGUAGAUCUGUAUUAGCCGUCCCAGGAAUCGGCAUUUAUUGACUACAUUUCACAAAGUGCGGUGAGUUAUUCCACCACAUCACCACAGUUCUGUCCAGUUUAAGGUGUUUAAACUGAAUCUAACUAAUCAGAGUCAGAUCAGCAGUUAGUUGAAGGUCAAGUUGUUUUCAGAGCCUUCAUCUCACCAGCGGUAACCAGCGACUGAUGGGAGAUAAUCUCACUUCAUCAUCUCAGGAGCCGCAAGUGCGGAUUGAGAUGAACAUCCCGAUGGAAGAAGAAGGAGAAGUUCUCCACCGGCGUCGUCGCCCCGACUUCCCGUCUCCUUAUUCAUCGCCAUGGAAACGGACACACCCUUCAUUUAUGGGAUGUUCCACUCCAAAUGGACCCAGCAGCAUCUCCACACCAGGACGUCCUGCUGUGGUGGGAAGUGUUGUAAAACGCCUCACGACCUCCAGCACCGACUUGCAUGACUGGAUUAUUUCAUAUUUGAAAGGAGUAUUUGUGCGUUUGAGGAGCCUUCAACUUCAAACUGGACUCUCGUGUCCUGAGCUUCCUUUCAGUUCCCCUGUUGCAUGGCAACACGUGUUUCAUUGUGGUCUUUGUGGUCAGAUGGGGCACUUUAUCCAUGUGAAGGAGCCCAGUGGAGAAGGAGCCUGCGGGAUUCAUAGAUGGAUGGAUGACAUCUUACAUUUCACAUCAGCUUCAUCUGCCUCGAAUCCAGCAUCCGCAGCGCCGUCCAUCCUAUAAACAUUAAACACUGAAGUGAAGAACAAAUUGGAGGUUUUUAUACAUUAUUUGAGCAUUUCUUUAUCUGCUAUUUUGUACUUUUACUCCACAACAUGUCAGAAAUAAAUAAUGUUCUUUUUGCUGAAGAGUUUUUGUAGUUUUCUGUUGAUUUAUUUCAGAAAUGUGGUAUAACUGAAAUAUAGCUGACCUGUGGAAUCUUAGUGACGAACUGACGUGUUCCUUUAUGUGUAGAACGUAGUGAUAAACUGAGGUACGAAGUGUUUCUUCUCAUGAUGAUCGUCAUAAUGUCACUUCAUCUUUGUUAAAAGUGUCGGGUUUUUUUCAGCUUUAUCCGUUUGUCUCUCAAAUAAAAAAUAAGAAAAAAAGAAAAGCGGUGAGGAAGGACCCAGUCAUACCUGACCUUUUUGUCUCCUCGGGUUGCCACGGUAACGUGGCAUGAAUGCUGAAAGCUAAACAUAGACAACUAACUAACGCACAAACACACACACACACACACAGUCGUCCCACUCGUGUGGACAAAAGCUCAGUGAGGUGGUGAUUAUGUAGAAAUACACACACACACACACACAGUAGUGGGUUUUAUUACAAGGGCUUAAAGGCUGCAGGUGGGGAAGGACAGGUGUGUGUGUGUGUGUGUGUGUGUGUGUGUGUGUGUGUGUGUGUCGGGGUGUUCACCUCAUGUUCAGCAUCGCAGAUCUAGAAGCUGAUGUUGUAGUUCCUCGUCUCAGGUGGUUCAUCAGCACAGUAUCAG